rnacentral:rRNA from 1 species
UACGUAGGGGGCAAGCGUUGUCCGGAUUUAUUGGGCGUAAAGAGCGUGUAGGCGGCUAGAUAGGUCCGUUGUGAAAACUCGAGGCUCAACCUCGAGACGUCGAUGGAAACCAUCUGGCUAGAGUCCGGAAGAGGAGAGUGGAAUUCCUGGAUGUAGCGGUGAAAUGCGCAGAUAUCAGGAAGAACACCCGUGGCUAAGGCGGCUCUCUAGUACGUGACUGACGCUGAGACGCGAAAGCGUGGGGGAGCGAACAGG